rnacentral:rRNA from 1 species
GAGCACGUAGGUGGGUUUGUAAGUCAGGUGUGAAAGCCUUCUGUUCAAAGGAAGAACGGCAUCUGAAACUGCAGAUCUUGAGUGUAGGAGGGGAGAGUGGAACUUCUGGUGGAGCGGUGAAAUGCGUAGAUAUCAGAAGGAACGUCGGCGGCGAAAGCGACUCUCUGGCCUAUUACUGACACUGAGGUGCGAAAGUUAGGGGAGCAAACGGGAUUAGAUACCCCGGUAGUCCUAACCGUAAACGAUGGGCACUAAGUAGAGGGAAUUACCAAUGUUCUCUCUGCCGUAGCUAACGCAUUAAGUGCCCCGCCUGGGGAGUACGGCCGCAAGGCUAAAACUCAAAAGAAUUGACGGGGGCUCGCACAAGCGGUGGAGCAUGUGGCUUAAUUCGAUGCAACGCGAAAAACCUUACCGGGGUUUGACAUGGUAGAAGUAGGAGCCCGAAAGGGCAACCAACGGUAUCCAGUCCGUAACUAUUACAGGUGUUGCAUGGCUGUCGUCAGCUCGUGUCGUGAGACGUUGGGUUAAGUCCCCUAACGAGCGAAACCCUUGUUUUUAGUUACCAUCGGGUUGUGCCGGAUACUCUAAAAAGACUGCCGUCGUCAAGACGGAGGAAGGUGGGGAUGACGUCAAGUCAUCAUGGCCCUUAUACCCCGGGCUGCACACGUGCUACAAUGGUCGGUACAAAAGGAAGCAAGACCGAGAGGUGAAGCGAAUCC